GGGAGAGAGCGCUGCGGAUCGCGGGCGGGAUCGACGGGAGCGGCCUCCAGUCUGCUGCUGCCACGGGGAAGAAGUGAAAAUGGAAGCUGACUUCAAGCUUAGCCCUGUAGGAAGGAAGGAUUGGAGAGCACUGGGGGCUGAUCUAGCUGGUCAACUCCUACUCUUUGUCUCUCUCUGCUGAAUAAGAAAUGAUUUAGCUUCACUGCAAA